GAUGAGAGCCAAGGUCAGUUUUUUAUCUACAACUUUAGCUAUGCUUCUGUAGGUUUUAUCAAAAAUGUUGUGUGUUGAUCUUUAAGUAUAUUGGGAAUUUUGUGAAUUGCUGUUUAUAGAAUCAGUCGAGUGAGAUUGAAACCUUGGUUUAGUGUAGCACGACCUGUAGGAUAUUGAAAUUUAUUGAUUAGGAUUGUGAUUUCUACUCAUGGUUUUGCUCUUGCCGAAAGAGAAUGUUGGGAUUUUCAUCAAAAGUUCGGUUAUUGUUAAAUUUGGGAUUUGAUAUAAGAGCUCUGUUUUCUGGAAGAUUUGGUAUGAAAUGAGAUACUCUGGUUUGUAACAGUUGAGUUUUAUAUCUCACAAUGUUGGUCUCUCCUAAUAUUGAUCAUAUCAUUUUAUGUGUGAUUUGUACUUGAUGGAAGAGAAUGUUGGGAUUUUAAUCAAGUUUUGGGUUAUUGUUGAAUUUACGAUUUCAAUUUCACUAUCUUGAUCUCUCCUACUAUGUAAAUUUUAUGGUUGAUCAUUGCCUCUUUUUUUUUUUUUUUUGGGUGAGUAGAAGCCAAUUCUGAUCCAUACAAUAUGAUCCUAGUUUGGGUUUAGUGAAUGGUUUUUGUUUUUCUUUUGCAGUGGAAGAAGAAGCGUAUGAGGAGGCUUAAGAGGAAGAGACGAAAGAUGAGACAGCGUUCUAAGUAAAUUUGCCUUUGAAGACAAUGCGACUCUGUUUCUUGCUUCUCUCCCUUUCUCUCUUGCAAACAUUGUUCUUACUAUAAGCUUCCUUUUAUGUUUCAGACUUGUUUAAGAUUU